rnacentral:rRNA from 1 species
AUUGAACGCUGGCGGCAGGCCUAACACAUGCAAGUCGAGCGGGGUUUUCGGACCUAGCGGCGGACGGGUGAGUAAUGCGUAGGAAGCUACCCGAUAGAGGGGGAUACCAGUUGGAAACGACUGUUAAUACCGCAUAAUGUCUACGGACCAAAAGUGUGGGACCUUCGGCCACAUGCUAUCGGAUGCGCCUACGUGGGAUUAGCUAGUUGGGUGAGGUAAUGGCUCACCUAGGCGACGAUCUCUAGCUGGUUGAGAGGAUGAUCAGCCACACUGGAACUGAGACACGGUCCAGACUCCUACGGGAGGCAGCA